rnacentral:rRNA from 1 species
UACGGGGGGGCAAGCGUUGUUCGGAAUUACUGGGCGUAAAGGGCGCGUAGGCGGCCUUCUAAGUCGAACGUGAAAUCCCCGGGCUCAACCCGGGAACUGCGUCCGAUACUGGAAGGCUUGAAUCCGGGAGAGGGAUGCGGAAUUCCAGGUGUAGCGGUGAAAUGCGUAGAUAUCUGGAGGAACACCGGUGGCGAAGGCGGCAUCCUGGACCGGUAUUGACGCUGAGGCGCGAAAGCCAGGGGAGCAAAGCGGG